GGCUGGUCCCAGUGCAGUGGUCUUUACUAAUUGAUCACAACACAGUUACAGAUUCCUUUGUUCCUUCUCCACUCCCACUGCUCCUUGACCAGCCUUAA
rnacentral:Y_RNA from 1 species